UACGUAGGGUGCGAGCGUUAAUCGGAAUUACUGGGCGUAAAGCGUGCGCAGGCGGUGCGUUGUGUUGGAGGUGAAAUCCCCGGGCUUAACCUGGGAACUGCCAUCGAAACUGGCGUACUAGAGUGUGGCAGAGGGGGGUGGAAUUCCGCGUGUAGCAGUGAAAUGCGUAGAUAUGCGGAGGAACACCGAUGGCGAAGGCAGCCCCCUGGGCUAACACUGACGCUCAGGCACGAAAGCGUGGGGAGCAAACAGG
rnacentral:rRNA from 1 species